rnacentral:rRNA from 1 species
UACGGAGGGUGCAAGCGUUAAUCGGAAUUAUUGGGCGUAAAGAGCUCGUAGGCGGCUUGUCGCGUCGGAUGUGAAAGCCCGGGGCUUAACUCCGGGUCUGCAUUCGAUACGGGCAGGCUAGAGUUCGGUAGGGGAGAUCGGAAUUCCUGGUGUAGCGGUGAAAUGCGCAGAUAUCAGGAGGAACACCGGUGGCGAAGGCGGAUCUCUGGGCCGAUACUGACGCUGAGGAGCGAAAGCGUGGGGAGCGAACAGG